CAGCCCAAAUGACGUUCACGUGCCACUGCGGUUUCCGACUGACAGGGGUAAUACCCCUGUUCCGGCAUCUGAGGCGGUGCGUCAAGCGCCGCCUCUUUCUAAUCAUAUAUUGCGAUAAAUGUGGAGAAAGGCUGGUGGGAGCCACAGCCGUGGCCGCCCACCUCACGGGUACGGCCCAUCUAGCCCGUUACUGGGAGGGUCGGCAAGUCGGACUGCUGUUGCAGUCCGACUACCGGGACGCCGUAGAGCGUAUUAGGACCCUAUGAUGAUGUAUGAAGGUCUGGGGCUGCCGUCGGCAGGAUGCGCCGUUUGUUUCAAAAUUAUUU